AAAAUACUUCCUCCGUCAAACAAAAGAUGUCUCAAGUUUAUCAAAUUUUGAAUGUAUUUAGACAUUACUUAGUGUAUAAAUGCAUUCAAAUUUAAUCAAAAUUGAGACAUCUUUUGUUGGACCGAGAAUUCCAAA
rnacentral:pre_miRNA from 1 species